rnacentral:rRNA from 1 species
CUCCGCCUGGGGAGUACGGUCGCAAGACUGAACUCCAAAGGAAAUUGACGGGGACCCGCACAAGCAGUGGAGUAUGUGGUUUAAUUCGAAGCAACGCGAAGAAACCUUACCAGGUCUUGACAUCCCUCUGACCGGUACAGAGAUGUACCUUUCUUCGGGACAGAGGAGACAGGUGGUGCAUGGUUGUCGUCAGCUCGUGUCGUGAGAUGUUGGGUUAAGUCCCGCAACGAGCGCAACCCUUGAUCUUAGUUGCCAGCACUUCGGGUGGGCACUCUAAGGUGACUGCCGGUGACAAACCGGAGGAAGGUGGGGAUGACGUCAAAUCAUCAUGCCCCUUAUGACCUGGGCUACACACGUACUACAAUGGCCGGUACAACGGGCAGUGAAACCGCGAGGUGGAACGAAUCCUAAAAAGCCGGUCUCAGUUCGGAUUGCAGGCUGCAACUCGCCUGCAUGAAGUCGGAAUUGCUAGUAAUCGCGGAUCAGCAUGCCGCGGUGAAUACGUUCCCGGGUCUUGUACACACCGCCCGUCACACCACGAGAGUUUAUAACACCCGAAGUCGGUGGGGUAACCGCAAGGAGC